GAUGAACGCUAGCGGGAGGCCUAACACAUGCAAGCCGAGCGGUAGAGUCUCUUCGGGGACUUGAGAGCGGCGUACGGGUGCGGAACACGUGUGCAACCUGCCUUUAUCAGGGGGAUAGCCUUUCGAAAGGAAGAUUAAUACCCCAUAAUAUAUUGAGUGGAAUCACUUGAUAUUGAAAACUCCGGUGGAUAGAGAUGGACACGCGCAAGAUUAGAUAGUUGGUGAGGUAACGGCUCACCAAGUCAGUGAUCAUUAGGGGGCCUGAGAGGGUGAUCCCCCACACCGGUACCGAGACACGGACCACACUCCUACGGGAGGCAGCAGUGAGGAAUAUUGGACAAUGGGUGAGAGCCUGAUCCAGCCAUCCCGCGUGAAGGACGACUGCCCUAUGGGUUGUAAACUUCUUUUGUACAGGGAUAAACCCAGAUACGUGUAUCUGGCUGAAGGUACUGUACGAAUAAGCACCGGCUAACUCCGUG
rnacentral:rRNA from 1 species